AGUGAGAUCAAAUGAACUGUAUGCCUAUUUGACAGGCUAAAGUCGUAUCACCUAAUCAAAAAUAACCUAAGGUCCACUAGCUAGGUAGAAAGGGAAGUCAGGAUCGAAUCCACAGGGAGACAGGCGUUCUUUCUACUAUUAAUUAAUUAAACUAAACUAUUGGGAACAAGAUUUGGUUGAUUGUUUGUAAACUAAGACUACGAACGAUAAUUAAAUAAGUAUGAAUCAAUAUAUUAAGGAAACCUAGGGCAUAGGUUCACCAGCAAUUAACAAUCCAGGACGAUGAACAAUCACGAUAAUCAACAAGGUAAUUAAUUAGACUAGCAUGCUCUCUCGAAUCGAUACUAGUCAUAGACUUAGAAUUAAUGAGCUCUCGCUACUUAUUAAUCCCAAUUCUACCUAUUGACACAAGCCUAAACAUCAAAUUGCAUCUCUCGAAUCUUAACUUGAUAUUGCAUAACUACGCAAUUAACCUGCGCAAAUCUAAUUGAAUAGUGGAAUAAACCAAUCAAUAAGAAUUAAUCACAAUGCCAACAAUCACACUUAUUCAAUAUCCCAUCAUAUUAAUUCAUGGAUCCCCAAACCUUAGAAAUUAAACUACUCAAGCAUGUUGAUAAUAAACAAAGCAAUUAGCAUAAUUGAAAACAUAAUUAAAGCAAAAGAAAUGAAUGAAAUAAAGAACAAUACCUAAUUGAAGAACAAUGGAAUAAUAAAGUUUGAACUUUUGAUUGGAAAUAAAACUAAGUGUUUGAGACAAUUUAGAGAGAAAACUAAGCUUAGGAAAAUAAACUAAGUGUUUGAUACUAGAAAAUAAAGUCCCCAUUAAAAAUAAAAGGGCUAGUAUUUAUAGUUUACCCAAAAUACAAGCCAAAAACCGGAAUUAAAUCUCGCGAAAAAGCAGAAGGGGUUGGCGUCGCCCGAUCGGGCGACGCUUCGCCCGAUCGGGCGAAGUGCUCGACAGUCGGCCCGAUCGGGCCAAAUUCCGCCCGAUCGGUAUAAUCCCCCGUAAAUUUAUAAAUUUUAUUAAUAUAUUUUAACGUAUAUUAUUUAUAUUUAAAUAAGAAUUUAUGAAUUUUAGUAAUAAAUAUAUAAUUAACGUAUAUUUAUUUUAUUUUAAUUACGUUCUAAAUAUUUAACGAUUUAUGAAAUCAAAAUAGUUUUGAAUUUUACUUUGAAAAUAAUUCGAAUUCAGAAAACAAUCCGAAUCGGUUUUUGAUUCAUACACUCAAACCCAAAUCCUAAUCCUAGCCCAAUUUUGGAAAAGCCCAAAUAGAUAAACCCAAAAUAGACUCACAAGUUUCACUCCUCUCAAACCCACAUACAAUUCACGUAAAAAUCCAAAGCAACCAAAACCCUUCUAUUUCACGUGAAAUACCAAACCUCCUCCCUCAAUUCUCCCUCACUGCUGCUCCUCCUUACCGCCGCUGUUCACAGCCGCCGCCACCACCCACCAGCGACCAUCCGCCCUUGCCGCCGCAACCACAGCCACAGCCCGAGUCUUGUCGCCGCCGUCCACCUUACCGCAGGCUCGCCGUCCAGCACGCCUCCGCGAGUCGUCCUCGCCACCCGCACAGCACCACCUUCGUCGGCUGACAGUCCGUCGCUGCCGCGCCGUACGCCGCCGCCCUACCUACUUCUCUCCUCUCCUUUUGGCGGAGAAUUCUUUGUGGGCGACUUUUGAAUUCGUUAAAGUGGCCUAUCAGUUUGUUUACACAAGUCUCUAAGGAUCAAUAAGCAUUGUCCAUCUGCAGGUUUGAAGAUGUUGCAUCAUUGGGAUCGGGAAUAGAGAGCUUGUAUUUAGUUUUGAUUUACUAAGUUGACUUGGGUUUGUUAAUUGGGACUUUAAACUUGUCGUACUAUUUAUAUUUCCUUAUUUUCGUUGGAUGAUUUUUGGGACUAAACCUGUAAUCGAUUAUUUAUAAACCUAAAGUUAGUUUUA